AUUGACAGUCCGGUCUGGAAUGAUUGACAGGUCCUAUGGAGGAGGCAGCAGAGACUCUGCUCUCUUCGUUUGGAUUAAUUCUGAUAUAAUAACUGUUGGUUUAUUUAUCGGUGGAGCAGCACAGCAUUUUCCACAGACAGUUUUCCUGCCCGUUGGCUUGUUUUAACCAGUUUUCUACCUUCCGCUGAUUCUACCAGCAGACACUGAAAGGACUUUGAUAGUUCGAGUGAAGGUAGCAGUUCCUCCUUAAGGUCAGAGAUUGCAGCAUCUGAGGACCUCUUCAAAAGAAGACGUAGUUGAUGAAGGCGUUCUGGAGCAGGACCAGAAAGACCACAACCAAGCAGCCUUGAGAUCUUAGGCAGCGUCUCCCUCAGACCAAAGAACUACAGACUCUUCACA
ensembl:lncRNA